GAAAAAGAACUAAAAGAGAAACAUGCAUGGUUGUUUAAUCAAAAACCAAUGGCCAUGAUUUAAUCAUCAAACAACAAAUCUGGAAAUGUUAUAUGAUAUCUAAGUUUAAUAAGCGAGGGACUACCAUCAGACUCAUAUACAAGAGUUCCUUGAUCCAAGAUCCAAGGGCACAGAAGGUGCCACGUGGCCAUUAGAGGCGUAAUAUGUGUUGGGUCAAAAGAGGUGAAUUGUGUUCCCUCUCUCAAGGUAGCGAAGAUACCAAAUCGGAGUUGGUGGUUUUCCGGUGAGCUCUGAUACCUUCUAACAAGACCCAAAUCCCAGCAAUGGAGGUAGGGGUUAUGUUCAACUCAAUACACCAAUCAAAGAUUCUUCAUGAACAAGAAGAAGCUCUUGAUUAUGCAUAACCAAAAAAAAUUGUGUAGGUUUUGGAUUCAAUGGAUGCUGCAUUUUUUGGUACUCUCAAAGUAUGAUUGGUAGCUGUUGAAUAUGUGAUUGCUGCUAGAAUUUAUAGGCUCAUAUUAGGUUAAAUGUGAGUGUGUGAGGGCCUAAAUUGUGUGAGAUUUGGAUAAGGAUUGUGGGUGAUUCAUGUGAGUUUGUUGUUGAAUCUCUGCGAGGUUAUUAGUGAGAUUUUGUGAGAGUUUUGUGUGAGGCAUUUUGCUGAUUUUGUUAUAUAAUCAGUGAUGUUUAAGAGGUGAGUAAUUGGUGAUCAUGUGCGAGUCAAAUUCAAGCUUAUUUUGUGGGAUUUUUUUGGGUAGAAACUGUGUGAUUCAAAACUGCAAAUUCCAUGUGAUGAUGUAUGCUACAUGAUGAUAUGUAAUGAACAUGAAUUUCAAUUU